AGAGUUUGAUCCUGGCUCAGGACGAACGCUGGCGGCGUGCCUAAUACAUGCAAGUAGAACGCUGAAGAGAGGAGCUUGCUCUUCUUGGAUGAGUUGCGAACGGGUGAGUAACGCGUAGGUAACCUGCCUUGUAGCGGGGGAUAACUAUUGGAAACGAUAGCUAAUACCGCAUAACAAUGGGUGACUCAUGUCAUUUAUUUGAAAGGGGCAAUUGCUCCACUACAAGAUGGACCUGCGUUGUAUUAGCUAGUAGGUGAGGUAACGGCUCACCUAGGCGACGAUACAUAGCCGACCUGAGAGGGUGAUCGGCCACACUGGGACUGAGACACGGCCCAGACUCCUACGGGAGGCAGCAGUAGGGAAUCUUCGGCAAUGGGGGCAACCCUGACCGAGCAACGCCGCGUGAGUGAAGAAGGUUUUCGGAUCGUAAAGCUCUGUUGUAAGUCAAGAACGAGUGUGAGAGUGGAAAGUUCACACUGUGACGGUAGCUUACCAGAAAGGGACGGCUAACUACGUGCCAGCAGCCGCGGUAAUACGUAGGUCCCGAGCGUUGUCCGGAUUUAUUGGGCGUAAAGCGAGCGCAGGCGGUUUGAUAAGUCUGAAGUUAAAGGCUGUGGCUCAACCAUAGUUCGCUUUGGAAACUGUCAAACUUGAGUGCAGAAGGGGAGAGUGGAAUUCCAUGUGUAGCGGUGAAAUGCGUAGAGAUGGGGAGGAACACCAGUGGCGAAGGCGGCCUGCUGGGCUUUAACUGACGCUGAGGCACGAAAGCGUGGGUAGCAAACAGGAUUAGAUACCCUGGUAGUCCACGCUGUAAACGAUGAUUACUAGGUGUGGGGGGUCUGACCCCUUCCGUGCCGGAGUUAACACAAUAAGUAAUCCACCUGGGGAGUACGGCCGCAAGGUUGAAACUCAAAGGAAUUGACGGGGGCCCGCACAAGCAGCGGAGCAUGUGGUUUAAUUCGAAGCAACGCGAAGAACCUUACCAAGGCUUGACAUCCCCUGACGUAUGUAGAGAUACAUAUUUCCUUCGGGACAGGGAGACAG
rnacentral:rRNA from 1 species